AGUUUGAUCUUGGCUCAGAUUGAACGCUGGCGGCAUGCCUUACACAUGCAAGUCGAACGGCAGCACGGGAGCUUGCUCCUGGUGGCGAGUGGCGAACGGGUGAGUAAUACAUCGGAACGUACCCUGAAGUGGGGAUAACGUAGCGAAAGUUACGCUAAUACCGCAUAUGCCCUAAGGGGGAAAGCGGGGGAUUCGCAAGAACCUCGCGUUUUCGGAGCGGCCGAUAUCGGAUUAGCUAGUAGGUGAGGUAAAGGCUCACCUAGGCGACGAUCCGUAGCUGGUCUGAGAGGACGACCAGCCACACUGGAACUGAGACACGGUCCAGACUCCUACGGGAGGCAGCAGUGGGGAAUUUUGGACAAUGGGCGCAAGCCUGAUCCAGCCAUGCCGCGUGAGUGAAGAAGGCCUUCGGGUUGUAAAGCUCUUUCAGCCGGAAAGAAAACGCACGGGUUAAUAACCUGUGUGGAUGACGGUACCGGAAGAAGAAGCACCGGCUAACUACGUG
rnacentral:rRNA from 1 species